UACGUAGGGCGCAAGCGUUGUCCGGAAUUAUUGGGCGUAAAGAGCUCGUAGGCGGUCUGUUACGUCCGCUGUGAAAACCCAGGGCUUAACCCUGGGCUUGCGGUCGAUACGGGCAGGCUAGAGUCGUAGGGGAGACUGGAAUUCCUGGUGUAGCGGUGAAAUGCGCAGAUAUCAGGAGGAACACCGGUGGCGAAGGCGGGUCUCUGGGCCGAUACUGACGCUGAGGAGCGAAAGCGUGGGGAGCGAACAGG
rnacentral:rRNA from 1 species